AUGUCUCCAGAUUCUCUGCAGAUGCAGCAGUCUUUGUGUCAUGGUUUCAUUUCUACUUUUAAACCAGCAGAAACACAGCAGAGUGUGUGUGUGCUUUUUUCACGUGAGCUGACUGCUGGGAAUGCACUGCGUGUCUGCAGACCGCGUGGCUCAAACAAUAAAGUCCAAAAGCACUCCAUCUCUGCUCCAGUUCUUGUGUGCUGUGUUCCCAGGUUCCUCCUCCAUGCCCAGGGAUGCUCUACAUUGUCAUGGUGGUGGAAUAAUGAGAUACUUCUGCUUGUGAACACAACAUGGGGUCCCACGAGCAGCAGCUGGGGUGCAGAGCUCUGCCAUGCUGCACACACUGCACUCAUCAGAGGAGCUGAGCAGCAGCCCCAGCCCUCAGCCCAGGAUACAGAGAAGCAGCAAGGCCAGGCAGGAUUUUGCUCAGGAAGCGGCACACUUUGUUUUUCACCAGAAACCAGAGCUGGGGCUCCCAACCCAUCCCAUCCUGUCCCGUCCCAUCCCAUCCCAUCCCGUCCCGUCCCGUCCCGUCCCGUCCUGUCCCAUCCCAUCCCAUCCCUAUCCCAUCCCCAUCCCAUCUCAUCCCGUCCCGUCCCAUCCCAUCCCGUCCCAUCUCAUCCCAUCCCUAUCCCAUCCCCAUCCCAUCUCUAUCCCAUCUCUAUCCCAUCUCUAUCCCAUCCCCAUCCCAUCCCCAUCCCCAUCCCAUCCAUCCAUCCCCAUCCAUCCCAGACCAUCCCAUCCCAUCCCAUCCCAUCCCAUCCCAUCCCAUCCCAUCCCAUCCCAUCCCAUCCCCAUAAGAUGCGCUUCCCCCGGCUCCGCCGACCCCGCCCUCAGCACAGCGCCACCUGGUGGCCGCCGUGGGCAGGCACUGCGCAUGCGAUGUGCGGGACGGCGGUUGGAGCCGCUCGGGCUUUUAGAGGGGUCGGUGCGGGGGGUGCGGAGCCUGCAGGGGGUCGGGGUGAGACGGGACGCGGCUCGUCAUGGAGCGGCCGUACUGGCAGAGCUCGGCCUGGGCCGGGAAGGCCCCGCGGAAGAAGCGACGUUUGUCCCCGUUGCCCGGCGGGCUGCCCGUCUCGGGGCGUUCCGGACAGGCUCAGUGCCGGCGGCGGCUGUUCGGCUGCGCGCGGCGUGGGGAGAACCAGCCCGGCUGUAAGCGGUGUGCGGUGCGGUGCGAGGAUGUGCGGGGCUCGGCGGUUGUCAGUUGGGGAGCGGGACCGAACCCACGUGGAAUAA
rnacentral:lncRNA from 1 species